rnacentral:rRNA from 1 species
CCCCUAGAUGUUCUGGGCUGCACGCGCGCUACACUGAUGCGAUCAACAAGUUUUUCCUAUGUCGAUAGACACGGGUAAUCUUUUGAACUCGCAUCGUGAUGGGGAUAGAUUAUUGUAAUUAUUAAUCUUCAACGAGGAAUUCCUAGUAGGUGCAAAUCAUCAGUUUGCAUCGAUUACGUCCCUGCCCUUUGUACACACCGCCCGUCGCUGCUACCGAUUGGUUGAUCUGGUGAAUUAUUCGGACUGCCGGCUGAAGGGGUUUCCUCAUCUGCCAGCGGAAAGUCUUGUUAACCCUAUCAACUAGAGGAAGCAGAAGUCGUAACA